ACUGACCUGGAACUUUACCUGACUGCUGCUGGUGUCUCCAUGAGAGCUGACAGCUAUUUGUACAAAUGUGACACAAACAGUUGACUUUUAUAUUGUAUGAGUAGACCUUACGUUUUUUUUGUUUUGUUUUGUUUUUUUCCAGGAAGGGUCGCAGUAAUACAGCACCCAACAGUGCUUUGUUGACAAAUUAUUUUUUUCCAUUGUUAUCAAUCACAGAUUCUGGCAAAACACCCAAUGUCAUGUCAUAUGCACGAAGAAAGUUGUACUGAUGUUUUGUAGACUGCAUCACAGCCACUAGACAGAAGGUGGAGGAGGCUCUCAGUGUCCCGGCCAGCGUUGCUGCUGUGGUUCGGCUGCCACAGCUCAAGUAACUUUUCCUGAGCAAGCUAGCUCGCUAACGCUUUGGGCCUUCAAACGCAGCCUCGACCUGGAGGUCCGCCCCGGCUCCUGUCAUAGCUCGACACGCAUGGACUCCUUUCAAGUUCCUUGUAGAGAAUUACACUGCACACCAACCUCAAAGAUGUGCUCAUGCUGGUUGUCUUGCACACACCCUGUUCACAUCACUUCCCUUUAUAAUGUGGGCCUGUGUCCGUCUGCUGUGGGCUUUAAAUGUCCACUAAAAAGCCAGAGCAGGAACUCUGCUGUUUGGGAGCACAACAACUCCUCCCACAGGGUUUAUUGCCGAGACUCCAGGGGGCACUUCUUCGCUUCAACGAGGAGCUGGGACAGAUCCAAUCCACUAUCAGUACUGGGUGCUGAUAGGCCUACUGGCGUAAAUCACUUAGUGGCUAUUGGAUUGACAUCAGUGAUCCAGAUUCUAUAGUCUAACUGAUUGACUGCCAAUUUAUCGUUGCACUCUUUGAAAUACUCUUAUUACAUUUGACUCAUGCCUACUAAGAAUUGAUAUUGCAUCACUGUGCACUUGAUCUGUUUCAAGGUUGUUGUUUUUUUAAACAUUAAAGGAGUCGGCAGAGUAAUUUGAUCCCCUAUGCCUGAUUAAGUGAAACCUACUUAACCGACUCUUAAAUGUGAAUGUAUUCCAAAGCAAUGUCUUUUACACAUUUUUGUUUUGUUUUUCUCUUUUUAAAUGCACAGGUUACAAUUUUUGCAGCGAGGGGUCUCAAAACAAAACAAAAAAGAUAUACGAAGGGUGGUAUCAUGGGAGUUGCUCUCUUUGUUGUCAACUGAUUCAGGAUGAUCGAUCUGUGAUUCAGGCAGAAAUAUUCACAGAAUACUUUUUUUAUUGAAACACACUGCUACCUUGAAUAAUGUUACUGUUUUCUCUGGGUUUGAACAUUGUUUGAAAAAUAAUCAAAGUGCACAAUUUAACCUUGUAAUUGACACUUUUUUUUUUUUAACUUU